GAUGAACGCUGGCGGCGUGCCUAAUACAUGCAAGUCGAGCGAACAGACGAGGAGCUUGCUCCUCUGACGUUAGCGGCGGACGGGUGAGUAACACGUGGAUAACCUACCUAUAAGACUGGGAUAACUUCGGGAAACCGGAGCUAAUACCGGAUAAUAUAUUGAACCGCAUGGUUCAAUAGUGAAAGACGGUUUUGCUGUCACUUAUAGAUGGAUCCGCGCCGCAUUAGCUAGUUGGUAAGGUAACGGCUUACCAAGGCGACGAUGCGUAUCCGACCUGAGAGGGUGAUCGGCCACACUGGAACUGAGACACGGUCCAGGCUCCUACGGGAGGCAGCAGUAGGGAAUCUUCCGCAAUGGGCGAAAGCCUGACGGAGCAACGCCGCGUGAGUGAUGAAGGUCUUCGGAUCGUAAAGCUCUGUUAUUAGGGAAGAACAAAUGUGUAAGUAACUAUGCACGUCUUGACGGUACCUAAUCAGAAAGCAACGGCUAACUACGUG
rnacentral:rRNA from 1 species